GUUUGUUUGCUUUAGGCGUUUUCACACUGAGUACCCGAGUCCGUAUCCGAGUCCGUUUGACCCCAAAGUUCGCUUAAUUUUAUCAGUGUAAAUGCAAACGUUCCGUGCUCGAGUACUGUGCCGUAGUCCAGCUGAGAAGGUA